GCAGGAAGUUUGAAAAAAACGGCCACUCCCGCCCGCAAUGUCUCGGUCGUGGGUUCGUUAUGCCAGUUGUUCAAGCCGUUCUGUACAUUUAUACUGGAUAUUAACUGGAGUCAUUUAGCUGUGCUGAUGCUGUUUGCCGUGUGUUUUGCAUCAGUGCUUCGUGACAACGGCUGUAUUGCGUGUUUUCGCCGACGGCUUACUACCACAAUGGCGGGAUCUGCGUUCGCCGCCUUCGUGUCUCGGUGCGUCUUUGUACGUCGCACGUUCGGAUAACACUUUUUCCGGCGGCUGGACAUCCUUCUUGUACCUUGGCGCUAGCUGGAUGACGGGACCUCAUCAUGAUCAGUGUAUUGCUUUCCUAUGUCUACAAGAACCGUCACGGGUGGCCUGUGACAGCAAGCUUUUGUGGGCAGCCAGUGCUCUCCUACGAAGGCUGGCCUACUCUGGCAGCGGCGGCAAUCAUCUUCAAGAUUUAUCGAUGAUCACCUUUGCUGCUAUUUGUCACUCUUCUUAAUUACACUUUCUGCAUCUUUUCUAAUCUAUUAGGUAAUAAAGUA